UACGGGGGGAGCAAGCGUUGUUCGGAUUUACUGGGCGUAAAGGGCGCGUAGGCGGCGGGGUAAGUCGGGUGUGAAAUCUCAGGGCUCAACCCUGAAACUGCACUUGAUACUGCUCUGCUUGAGGACUGGAGAGGAGACUGGAAUUCACGGUGUAGCAGUGAAAUGCGUAGAUAUCGUGAGGAAGACCAGUGGCGAAGGCGGGUCUCUGGACAGUUCCUGACGCUGAGGCGCGAAUGCCAGGGGAGCAAACGGG
rnacentral:rRNA from 1 species